GCCCAGGUGGCGAAAUCGGUAGACGCGCUAGUUUCAGGUACUAGUGCUCCUUAUACGAGCUUGGGAGUUCGAGUCUCCCCCUGGGCA
rnacentral:tRNA from 1 species